GGACUGUGGCUCAGUGGUAGAGAGCACUCGCCUAUCACAUGCGAGGCCCUGGGUUCGAUCCUCAGCACCA
rnacentral:tRNA from 1 species